CUUCCCUUGGUGUGAAUCUGCAUCAUGGCGGCCUCAGUGAAAACAGGAGAAUUAAAGAAAGCCAUUAAAAACAUUUUGAAAGAUGCCGACCUCGACUCUUUGUCGGCGAAGAAAGUUCGGCGAAAAUUGGAAGAUACAUUCGGAAUCGACCUUACAGCGAGGAAACAAGAGAUCGAUGCCCUUACCAUGAAGAUGAUUACGGAAGGACAAGAGGAGGAAGAGAAGGAGGAGCAAGAAGAAGAACCUAAGUCAAAAUCAAGGAAAACAACCAACAUAAAAUCAAAAGGCAAUGAUCACAUGACACAAAAUGGCCGGGCGAAAAAAGACACAAGUGAUGCAGAAGACAUGGGAGACGACUCCGAUUCAUCGUUUGAUGCACCCGAUCCUGUUCCAGUCAUAAAGAAGAGGAAAGUUGAAAAGAAACCACAGCCUAAGAAGACAUCAGACAGUGCAUUAUCAGACGAUGAUGAUGAUGAGGUAGAUGAUGAGGUGCUGGCCAAGCAGCUGCAGCAAGAGGAAGAGAUGAAUCUCAGGACCCGGCGGCGGCCACAGAAGAAACCUGUAGCCCCCAGGAAACCCAAAGAAAAGAAAGAAAGGAAAGGAACAUCCAUGUACAGCAAGCCGUGUCAGCUGUCACCGGAGCUGGCUGCUGUCAUUGGUCAGGACCAGUUGUCUCGGCAUGAAAUAGUGAAGCGGAUGUGGGAGGUGAUGAGGGAGCGAGAACUGCAGGAUCCCAAGAAUAAACAAUUUAUGGUUUGUGACGAAGAACUACAAAAGAUAUUUGGCAGGAAGCGGGUUCGGAUGUUCGGGAUGAUGAAGUGGUUGACCAAACACAUCAGAAGCAUGGAUGACCUUGAGUGAAGCAGCAGUGAAUCUACAUGAAGAUUGUGUAACUAGUUGCUUUUUAAGUGAAUGAGUGCGAUGGACAAGACACCUGUUGAAGACGCUAUCAGAGAUAAUGUUGUCCUCCAUUUCCCAAAGAGGCAACUACUUGGAGGCAGCACAGUGUCAUUUGACUGAACAGUAUGUCAGUCAUACUAUACCCCUCCCUCCUUCAGCAUUCCAUUGCAGACAAACAAUCAUUCAUCAUAUAUUCCAUUACUUGCCCUGUGUAGAUUGCAAUAGUUCCAGAGAGCAAGGAAACAGAAAUAUUUAACAAGAGUAAUUAUUUAGACAUAACAAUGACAAGCCACAGACAUAGUUUCCUUUGUUAUUUGUUCACAUGAAAGGAACAUCAAGUAGUUUUAGGUGUCAUCAAAUAUUCAUGAUUCUUCCAUUUCUGUUCCGUGUC
rnacentral:misc_RNA from 1 species